UACGGAAGGCAGCAGUGGGGAAUAUUGCACAAUGGGCGCAAGCCUGAUGCAGCCAUGCCGCGUGUAUGAAGAAGGCCUUCGGGUUGUAAAGUACUUUCAGUCGUGAGGAAGGUGUUAAGGUUAAUAACCUUAGCAAUUGACGUUAGCGACAGAAGAAGCACCGGCUAACUCCGUGCCAGCAGCCGCGGUAAUACGGAGGGUGCGAGCGUUAAUCGGAAUUACUGGGCGUAAAGGGCACGCAGGCGGUUAAUUAAGUUGGAUGUGAAAUCCCCGGGCUUAACCUGGGAAUGGCAUUCAAGACUGGUUAGCUAGAGUCUUGUAGAGGGGGUUAGAAUUCCAUGUGUAGCGGUGAAAUGCGUAGAGAUGUGGAGGAAUACCGGUGGCGAAGGCGGGCCCCUGGGACAAAGGCCUGACGCUCAUGUGCGAAAGCGUGGGGAGCAAAC
rnacentral:rRNA from 1 species